AUUGAACGCUGGCGGCAUGCUUUACACAUGCAAGUCGAACGGUAACAGGCCGCCAGGUGCUGACGAGUGGCGUAAGGGUGAGUAAUGCAUCGGAACGUGCCCAGUCGUGGGGGAUAACUACUCGAAAGAGUAGCUAAUACCGCAUACGCUCUAUGGAUGAAAGCGGGGGACCGUCCGGCCUCGCGUGAUUGGAGCGGCCGAUGUCAGAUUAGGUAGUUGGUGGGGUAAAGGUUCACCAAGCCAACGAUCUGUAGCUGGUCUGAGAGGACACCCAGCCACACUGGGACUGAGACACGGCCCAGACUCCUACGGGAGGCAGCAGUGGGGAAUUUUGGACAAUGGACGCAAGCCUGAUCCAGCAAUGCCGCGUGCAGGAAGAAGGCCUUCGGGUUGUAAACUGCUUUUGUACGGAGCGAAACGGCUCUGGUUAAUACCCGGGGCUAAUGACGGUACCGUAAGAAUAAGCACCGGCUAACUACGUG
rnacentral:rRNA from 1 species